rnacentral:rRNA from 1 species
AGUGAACGCUGGCGGUAGGCCUAACACAUGCAAGUCGAACGGCAGCACAGGAGAGCUUGCUCUCUAGGUGGCGAGUGGCGGACGGGUGAGGAAUACAUCGGAAUCUGCCCAGUCGUGGGGGAUAACGUAGGGAAACUUACGCUAAUACCGCAUACGACCUUCGGGUGAAAGAGGGGGAUCGCAAGACCUCUCGCGAUUGGAUGAGCCGAUGUCGGAUUAGCUAGUUAGCGGGGUAAUGGCCCACCAAGGCGACGAUCCGUAGCUGGUCUGAGAGGAUGAUCAGCCACACUGGAACUGAGACACGGUCCAGACUCCUACGGGAGGCAGCAGUGGGGAAUAUUGGACAAUGGGCGCAAGCCUGAUCCAGCCAUACCGCGUGGGUGAAGAAGGCCUUCGGGUUGUAAAGCCCUUUUGUUGGGAAAGAAAUCUUUCAGGCUAAUACCCUGGGAGGAUGACGGUACCCAAAGAAUAAGCACCGGUUAACUUCGUG